rnacentral:rRNA from 1 species
GUCCACGCCGUAAACGGUGGGUACUAGGUGUGGGGGACAUUCCACGUUCUCCGUGCCGUAGCUAACGCAUUAAGUACCCCGCCUGGGGAGUACGGCCGCAAGGCUAAAACUCAAAGGAAUUGACGGGGCCCCGCACAAGCGGCGGAGCAUGCGGAUUAAUUCGAUGCAACGCGAAGAACCUUACCUGGGUUUGACAUAUGCCGGAAACAUCUAGAGAUAGGUGCCCCUUUUUGGUCGGUUUACAGGUGGUGCAUGGCUGUCGU